UUUCGCACUGUCCUUUCUCACCUAACAAAAACGACAGGAAAGAUGAAUGAGUGUUUGCAUCUUACUUCGAACGCAAAACUAGAUGGAUUCUGUAGAGGGAGAUAGCGAUUGAAAGGAGAAGGGUGAUGAAGGUAGAAAAACCCUAGAAUUGAAUAAUCUAGUUACAGUGCUAAUAAGGAAGCCACAUUCGAUGAACUAGCAAGAAUGGCGAGUUUGCACAACGCGUUCAAUAGCCUUGUUGAUGAACGUAAAUCUACUCUAUAAGCAAAUAAUCGUAAAAGCAAAAGAAACUACAAAACCUGAAGCAUACAUUACACGGGUUUGUUUGUUGUAUAUACCUUGGUCCAUCGUAGCUGGCUAUCUGUAUCAGAAACCUUGAAGAUACUAGUUUUUGCUGGUUUCCACCCGCAACUUCUCUGUAUGUUUUUGUUGCUGCUGCUGCUAUCUCGAUGGUUGAAGGCUUUGAAGCUCUUUUAUUUAUAGAGAUCUGCAAAUGUGUUAAAAAAUUCCCAAUGGAGGGAUCUCGGAAUCUGAUUUUUUCUUUUUAAAAAUCCAUUUUCUUAUUCAUUAAAAUACACAGAAGCUCAUGGCAAGUCAGCUAAAGCCUGAACAUGUUACAGCUCAUUUAAAUUAUAUGAAUAUUUAAAUAGUAAUCUGAUAUGA